UUUCACACGGCUAGCUUGACCUACACACAGCUUUGAAAGUCUGCCCUUCCCUGGUUCUUUUUUUCCCGCCAAGCAUCUGUGUGUUUGUGUGUGCUGUUUC